UUGCUGGCAUAUUUGCAACGCCAUACAAGCCAUGGUGGACAUAUUCAAUGUAAGGGCAUGUGUCAAGUCCUCCUCGACCUUCAGCGCCAGCUCUACUUAGCCAUCCAUUUCGUCCGGCUCUUCGGAAACUUGUGCAGUUCUUGAUUUUCAUACUUUUGUAAUGUGACCGCUUUUUUCGCAUCGGUAACAUCUCAUGUUACGGAAUUUAAAAAAAGGUUCCUGGUUCCAUGGUUUCCAUCAAAAACUUAGCACUUUGACCGACCUAUGUUAGUGUUUUUCACACUGUCCUUGCAGGCUCCACGUAUGCUGACAACGAAACUGUAAUCGCAGCAGAAUCUAGAGAUGAAGACAGCAGGAUGGCGGUAGAAAUGAGCGAGGGCUUUGUUAAGCUCACAAGAAGACCGAGAAAGCAAGGAGAUAGAAGAGUAUGAUACGUCGACAACGCAAUCGGGCGAAAGUGCAGGAUGCUGGAAGAGAUAAAACUGACAUUCCAGGCACUUCUACGGUAUUCUGCCGAGGGAGACAAAGCCCGAACAGGAACGAAGGAAGCACGCAUGGUCCCUGAGUCUUAAUGGAGGACUGUGACUUCCAAAAGGAGGCUACAGCCAUCACGGAAGGAGAAGAUGUUCGCUGAGAAAGAUAAGGAGCCGCCCUAUUAUGCUAGAGUGCCAACCGGUAGGAUUCCACCAGAUCAUCGGUCCCAAGUAGAGCAUCUAGUAAACGAACUGGUUUUCGAACAUCUGUUGAACUCUGAAGAGGGUCCACCCAUGCAAAUUAAGAGCUGCGAGACUAGAGGGGAUCUUUACGCUGCGCUUUGCGUCAGCAGAAUGUAUUGAUACUAGAAGAAUCCACACUCCCUGUGGUGCAAAAGUUGCCCUUGUGAGAAAGAUGGCGACGGUGUUCAUUAGGGCCACGGUCUUCAUCAAGAGUGAGGGCGGAAAAUACGCAACGUAACGCAUGAUAGAAGUCUUAAAUAAGCAAAACCAAGAUUUAGUCGUGAAGAAAUGGGAGGCCUUUAACAGGGAGGAGAAGGAAAAAGUAAGCAAUUGAAUAUAAAUAAUUAAAACAAAUGUUUAAAUGUAAAUAUUUGAGUGUAGUUAUCAAUAGUAUGAAAAAUGUAAAUAAACACUUUUUUCGUAAUUAGGACUAAUUCACACAGAAUAAAUGGGAAACAAAAGGUUGAAAUGGCUCAACUCAUGACCAUCAGAAUACGGCAAUAAAAAAUAUGUUCACACAAAAAAAUGUGGUCGUUUGAAUUGGAAACACUUCCUCUCAGCUACCCGAUAAAUCUAAA
rnacentral:sRNA from 1 species